rnacentral:lncRNA from 1 species
CCUUGUCAAAUCAGCUCUAUGUUGAUGAUUGUAUUAAGUCAUUCCUCUAUCAAACCAGCUGUAAGAAUGUAAAGUGGUUGGACUGUGCCUAGCACACAAUAUGUACAAAAUAAACAGCAGGUAUUAUAUUGUGGGCAUGAUUAUUAUUUGUAAUGUGUUCUUUGUUUUUCUAUCUUAAUGGAUAGGUCUUGACAAGAAGAUGCUUGCUUGUAAGAAGCAAAAAAUGGCUUUCUUCAAAGGAUGUAGAAGUAGGAUAAGAAAGUGAGCAUGAGAACCUGAAGCAGGCUUUUGUUCUUGCUGUCUCCGAGUCUUGGCGCAGAAUCAAGUAACAGAUUUCAAGAAGUUGGAAGCAUGAUCUACUUAUUCUGGAAGAAGAUAUUGAGGCAGUGAAUGCUUCUAAAAUUGUUUCCCUUAAAAAAAGUGCUGUGGCCAUGCUUGUGAUUGAAAUAGAAGAAAGGAUACUCAGACGGAAAGAAGCUCAGGAAAUUCAAUUUGACAAAUUCCUCAAUGUCCUAGAGACAGAGAAUUGUGCCUAUGGGAGAAAACAAUGCUCCUGGAGAGAUGAGAGCAAGCCCUGGAAACCCACUGACUGCCUUUGGCAGAGGAUAUUCUCCUGGAACCAAAAGUUCUUCAGUCCAGAGCUCUCAUUCCACCUGUCUUCCUGCAUACACAUAUCUGGAGAGAGUGAAACCCCAAAUCCAGUUCCUGGUGUGUUAAAUGAGAAACUUCAGUGGAAUAGAAAGGGCUCAAGCAACUCCAGCACAGGGACACAGCUCUUAAAAUGA